CUAUACAUGCAGUCGAGCGGACAGAUGGGAGCUUGCUCCCUGAUGUUAGCGGCGGACGGGUGAGUAACACGUGGGUAACCUGCCUGUAAGACUGGGAUAACUCCGGGAAACCGGGGCUAAUACCGGAUGGUUGUUUGAACCGCAUGGUUCAGACAUAAAAGGUGGCUUCGGCUACCACUUACAGAUGGACCCGCGGCGCAUUAGCUAGUUGGUGAGGUAACGGCUCACCAAGGCGACGAUGCGUAGCCGACCUGAGAGGGUGAUCGGCCACACUGGGACUGAGACACGGCCCAGACUCCUACGGGAGGCAGCAGUAGGGAAUCUUCCGCAAUGGACGAAAGUCUGACGGAGCAACGCCGCGUGAGUGAUGAAGGUUUUCGGAUCGUAAAGCUCUGUUGUUAGGGAAGAACAAGUGCCGUUCAAAUAGGGCGGCACCUUGACGGUACCUAACCAGAAAGCCACGGCUAACUACGUGCCAGCAGCCGCGGUAAUACGUAGGUGGCAAGCGUUGUCCGGAAUUAUUGGGCGUAAAGGGCUCGCAGGCGGUUUCUUAAGU
rnacentral:rRNA from 1 species